CUCAGAUUGAACGCUGGCGGCAUGCUUUACACAUGCAAGUCGAACGGCAGCACGGGAGCUUGCUCCUGGUGGCGAGUGGCGAACGGGUGAGUAAUGCAUCGGAAUGUACCGUGUAAUGGGGGAUAGCUCGGCGAAAGCCGGAUUAAUACCGCAUACGCCCUGAGGGGGAAAGCGGGGGACCGAAAGGCCUCGCGUUAUACGAGCAGCCGAUGUCUGAUUAGCUAGUUGGUGAGGUAAGAGCUCACCAAGGCGACGAUCAGUAGCGGGUCUGAGAGGAUGAUCCGCCACACUGGGACUGAGACACGGCCCAGACUCCUACGGGAGGCAGCAGUGGGGAAUUUUGGACAAUGGGCGCAAGCCUGAUCCAGCCAUGCCGCGUGUCUGAAGAAGGCCUUCGGGUUGUAAAGGACUUUUGUUCGGGAGGAAAUCCCGCUGGUUAAUACCUGGCGGGGAUGACAGUACCGGAAGAAUAAGCACCGGCUAACUACGUGCCAGCAGCCGCGGUAAUACGUAGGGUGCAAGCGUUAAUCGGAAUUACUGGGCGUAAAGCGUGCGCAGGCGGUUGUGCAAGUCUGAUGUGAAAGCCCCGGGCUCAACCUGGGAACGGCAUUGGAGACUGCACGACUAGAGUGCGUCAGAGGGGGGUAGAAUUCCGCGUGUAGCAGUGAAAUGCGUAGAGAUGCGGAGGAAUACCGAUGGCGAAGGCAGCCCC
rnacentral:rRNA from 1 species